AGAGUUUGAUCCUGGCUCAGGAUGAACGCUGGCGGCGUGCUUAACACAUGCAAGUCGAACGGAGAAUAUCUUAACAGAGACUUCGGUUGAAGUUGCUAUAUUCUUAGUGGCGGACGGGUGAGUAACGCGUGGGUAACCUGCCUCAUACCGGGGGAUAACAGCCAGAAAUGGCUGCUAAUACCGCAUAAGCGCACGGGAGCGCAUGCUCCAGUGUGAAAAACUCCGGUGGUAUGGGAUGGACCCGCGUUGGAUUAGCUGGUUGGCAGGGUAAUGGCCUACCAAGGCAACGAUCCAUAGCCGGCCUGAGAGGGUGAACGGCCACAUUGGGACUGAGACACGGCCCAGACUCCUACGGGAGGCAGCAGUGGGGAAUAUUGCACAAUGGGGGAAACCCUGAUGCAGCGACGCCGCGUGAAGGAAGAAGGUUUUCGGAUUGUAAACCACUGUUCUUCGUGAAGAAACAAAUGACGGUAGCGAAGAAGAAAGCUCCGGCUAACUACGUGCCAACAGCCGCGGUAAUACGUAGGGAGCGAGCGUUGUCCGGAUUUACUGGGUGUAAAGGGUGCGUAGGCGGCCCUGCAAGUCAGACGUGAAAGCCCCAGGCUCAACCUGGGAAUUGCGUUUGAAACUGUGGGGCUUGAGUGAAGUAGAGGUAGGCGGAAUUCCCGGUGUAGCGGUGAAAUGCGUAGAGAUCGGGAGGAACACCAGUGGCGAAGGCGGCCUACUGGGCUUUAACUGACGCUGAGGCACGAAAGCGUGGGUAGCAAACAGGAUUAGAUACCCUGGUAGUCCAUGCUGCAAACGAUGAUUACUAGGUGUGGGGGGUCUGACCCCCUCCGUGCCGGAGUUAACACAAUAAGUAAUCCACCUGGGGAGUACGGCCGCAAGGCUGAAACUCAAAGGAAUUGACGGGGGCCCGCACAAGCAGUGGAGUAUGUGGUUUAAUUCGAAGCAACGCGAAGAACCUUACCAGGUCUUGACAUCCAACUAACGAAGUAGAGAUACAUUAGGUGCCCUUCGGGGAAAGUUGAGACAGGUGGUGCAUGGUUGUCGUCAGCUCGUGUCGUGAGAUGUUGGGUUAAGUCCCGCAACGAGCGCAACCCUUGUCAUUAGUUGCUACGCAAGAGCACUCUAGUGAGACUGCCGUUGAUAAAACGGAGGAAGGUGGGGACGACGUCAAAUCAUCAUGCCCCUUAUGACCUGGGCUACACACGUACUACAAUGGCCGUUAACAGAGAGAGGCAAAACAGCGAUGUGGAGCAAAACUCUAAAAACGGUCCCAGUUCGGAUUGUAGGCUGAAACCCGCCUGCAUGAAGUUGGAAUUGCUAGUAAUCGAAGAUCAGCAUGCCGCGGUGAAUACGUUCCCGGG
rnacentral:rRNA from 1 species